rnacentral:rRNA from 1 species
AUGCCUGUGGGUGAAGAGGGUUAUCUAGAUCUGUCGAGGCAAGUUGUAUCUGUGAAAUCAAGAGGAAGGCUAGAAAUUCUUGUGCAGGCUAGAGAAAUCAGUGGAAGUGUCGUCUUUCCAAUCAAAUUCAACAACAUACGUGAAGAAAGUUGUGAGCUUGGUGAUUGUAAAGUGGAGAUAACCGUUGCUUGGUCCUUGCUCGUUGAAAACCAGUAUGAUAUCUCGGUGAUGGGAGCUAUACAGCCUUACGCAUGGGAAUCAAUUCCACGUAGACCAAUCAUGAAGCUUGUUGACGCUUGUUGA